rnacentral:rRNA from 1 species
UACGUAGGGUGCGAGCGUUAAUCGGAAUUACUGGGCGUAAAGCGUGCGUAGGCGGUUCGCUGUGUCCGAUGUGAAAGCCCCGGGCUUAACCUGGGAAUGGCAUUGGAAACUGGCGGGCUUGAGUGCGGCAGAGGGGGUGGAAUUCCGCGUGUAGCAGUGAAAUGCGUAGAGAUGUGGAGGAACACCGGUGGCGAAGGCGGGUCUCUGGGCCGAUACUGACGCUGAGGAGCGAAAGCGUGGGGAGCGAACAGG